ensembl:lncRNA
UUACUGGUUUACUGUAAUGGUCUCCUAACUGGUUUAGUAGGCUGGACUACUGUAAUGGUCUCUUAACUGGUCUUCCCAAAAAAGACCAUUAAAAAGCUGCAGCUGCAGCUUACCGCAGUUCUAAAAUCUUUACACUGGCUUCCAAUUAGGUACAGAAUAGGUUUUAAAGUGCUGCUACUGCUCUUAAAAUCACGGAAUGGAUUGGUCCCAGAAUACAUCUCUGACAUGAUUAAACAAUAUAAACUCAUGAACUCAGGUCAGCUAGUAGAGUCCAGAGUAGGGCUCUUAGAUCCAUGGACUCAGGUCAGCUAGUAGAGUCCAGAGUAGGGCUCUCAGAUCCAUGGAAUCAGGUCAGCUAGUAGAGCCCAGUCCAAAUUAAACCGGAUGAAAAAACCUUUUAACUGUUAUGCUUCAUACAGAGCAAACUGCCAGACAUUCUUAGAUGUGCCCCAAAUGUAGCAAUUUUUAGAUCCACACA